rnacentral:rRNA from 1 species
UACGAAGGGGGGCUAGCGUUGCUCGGAAUCACUGGGCGUAAAGGGUGCGCAGGCGGGUCUUUAAGUCAGGGGUGAAAUCCUGGAGCUCAACUCCAGAACUGCCUUUGAUACUGAGGAUCUUGAGUUCGGGAGAGGUGAGUGGAACUGCGAGUGUAGAGGUGAAAUUCGUAGAUAUUCGCAAGAACACCAGUGGCGAAGGCGGCUCACUGGCCCGAUACUGACGCUGAGGCACGAAAGCGUGGGGAGCAAACAGG